GAUGAACGCUGGCGGCGUGCUUAACACAUGCAAGUCGAACGAUGAAGCCCAGCUUGCCGGGUGGAUUAGUGGCGAACGGGUGAGUAACACGUGAGUAACCUGCCCUUAACUCUGGGAUAAGCCUGGGAAACUGGGUCUAAUACCGGAUAGGAGCGUCCACCGCAUGGUGGGUGUUGGAAAGAUUUAUCGGUUUUGGAUGGACUCGCGGCCUAUCAGCUUGUUGGUGAGGUAAUGGCUCACCAAGGCGACGACGGGUAGCCGGCCUGAGAGGGUGACCGGCCACACUGGGACUGAGACACGGCCCAGACUCCUACGGGAGGCAGCAGUGGGGAAUAUUGCACAAUGGGCGCAAGCCUGAUGCAGCGACGCCGCGUGAGGGAUGACGGCCUUCGGGUUGUAAACCUCCUUCAGUAGGGAAGAAGCGAAAGUGACGGUACCUGCAGAAGAAGCACCGGCUAACUACGUG
rnacentral:rRNA from 1 species